AUUAACGCUGGCAGAGUGCAUAACACAUGCAAGUCGAGCGGGGUGGCGGAUUAUCGCGCCUAGCGGCAGACGAGUGAGUAACACGUAAGAAACCUGCCCUCGAGAGGCGGAUAACGCAUCGAAAGAUGUGCUAAUACGCCGUAUUAUCUUCUGGUGGCAUCAUCGGAGGAUGAAAGCCCGCAAGGGUGUUCGAGGAGGGUCUUGCGCCCCAUCAGCUAGUUGGCGGUGUAACGGACCACCAAGGCUAUGACGGGUACCCGGCCUGAAAGGGCGGACGGGCACGAAGGCACUGAGAAACGGGCCUUACUCCUACGGGAGGCAGCAGUGGGGAAUUUUGGACAAUGGGCGAAAGCCUGAUCCAGCAACUCUGCGUGAGGGACGAAGGUCUUCGGAUUGUAAACCUCUUUUAUUGGGGAAGAAAGCCCGCAAGGGUUUGACGGUACCCAGUGAAUAAGCCACGGCUAACUAUGU
rnacentral:rRNA from 1 species